rnacentral:rRNA from 1 species
CCGUGGCGUGCUAUACAUGCAAGUCGAACGCGUUGGCCCAAUUGAUUGAUGGUGCUUGCACCUGAUUGAUUUUGGUCGCCAACGAGUGGCGGACGGGUGAGUAACACGUAGGUAACCUGCCCAGAAGCGGGGGACAACAUUUGGAAACAGAUGCUAAUACCGCAUAACAGCGUUGUUCGCAUGAACAACGCUUAAAAGAUGGCUUCUCGCUAUCACUUCUGGAUGGACCUGCGGUGCAUUAGCUUGUUGGUGGGGUAACGGCCUACCAAGGCGAUGAUGCAUAGCCGAGUUGAGAGACUGAUCGGCCACAAUGGGACUGAGACACGGCCCAUACUCCUACGGGAGGCAGCAGUAGGGAAUCUUCCACAAUGGGCGCAAGCCUGAUGGAGCAACACCGCGUGAGUGAAGAAGGGUUUCGGCUCGUAAAGCUCUGUUGUUAAAGAAGAACACGUAUGAGAGUAACUGUUCAUACGUUGACGGUAUUUAACCAGAAAGUCACGGCUAACUACGUGCCAGCAGCCGCGGUAAUACGUAGGUGGCAAGCGUUAUCCGGAUUUAUUGGGCGUAAAGAGAGUGCAGGCGGUUUUCUAAGUCUGAUGUGAAAGCCUUCGGCUUAACCGGAGAAGUGCAUCGGAAACUGGAUAACUUGAGUGCAGAAGAGGGUAGUGGAACUCCAUGUGUAGCGGUGGAAUGCGUAGAUAUAUGGAAGAACACCAGUGGCGAAGGCGGCUACCUGGUCUGCAACUGACGCUGAGACUCGAAAGCAUGGGUAGCGAACAGGAUUAGAUACCCUGGUAGUCCAUGCCGUAAACGAUGAGUGCUAGGUGUUGGAGGGUUUCCGCCCUUCAGUGCCGGAGCUAACGCAUUAAGCACUCCGCCUGGGGAGUACGACCGCAAGGUUGAAACUCAAAGGAAUUGACGGGGGCCCGCACAAGCGGUGGAGCAUGUGGUUUAAUUCGAAGCUACGCGAAGAACCUUACCAGGUCUUGACAUCUUGCGCCAACCCUAGAGAUAGGGCGUUUCCUUCGGGAACGCAAUGACAGGUGGUGCAUGGUCGUCGUCAGCUCGUGUCGUGAGAUGUUGGGUUAAGUCCCGCAACGAGCGCAACCCUUGUUACUAGUUGCCAGCAUUAAGUUGGGCACUCUAGUGAGACUGCCGGUGACAAACCGGAGGAAGGUGGGGACGACGUCAGAUCAUCAUGCCCCUUAUGACCUGGGCUACACACGUGCUACAAUGGACGGUACAACGAGUCGCGAACUCGCGAGGGCAAGCAAAUCUCUUAAAACCGUUCUCAGUUCGGACUGCAGGCUGCAACUCGCCUGCACGAAGUCGGAAUCGCUAGUAAUCGCGGAUCAGCAUGCCGCGGUGAAUACGUUCCCGGGCCUUGUACACACCGCCCGUCACACCAUGAGAGUUUGUAACACCCAAAGUCGGUGGGGUAACCUUUUAGGAGCCAGCCGCCUAAGUGACAGAUUG